rnacentral:rRNA from 1 species
AUUGAACGCUGGCGGCAGGCCUAACACAUGCAAGUCGAGCGGAUGAGGGAAGCUUGCUUCCCGAUUUAGCGGCGGACGGGUGAGUAAUGCCUAGGAAUCUGCCUAUUAGUGGGGGAUAACGUUCCGAAAGGAACGCUAAUACCGCAUACGUCCUACGGGAGAAAGUGGGGGAUCUUCGGACCUCACGCUAAUAGAUGAGCCUAGGUCGGAUUAGCUAGUUGGUGAGGUAACGGCUCACCAAGGCGACGAUCCGUAGCGGGUCUGAGAGGAUGAUCAGCCACACUGGAACGGAGACACGGUCCAGACUCCUACGGGAGGCAGCAGUGGGGAAUAUUGGACAAUGGGCGGAAGCCUGAUCCAGCCAUGCCGCGUGUGUGAAGAAGGUCUUCGGAUUGUAAAGCACUUUAAGUUGGGAGGAAGGGUUGUAAGCUAAUAUCUUGCAGCUUUGACGUUACCAACAGAAUAAGCACCGGCUAACUCUGUGCCAGCAGCCGCCGUAAAAC